rnacentral:rRNA from 1 species
AUACGUAGGUGGCGAGCGUUAUCCGGAAUUACUGGGUGUAAAGGGUGUGUAGGCGGGAUGGCAAGUCAGAUGUGAAAUGCCGCGGCUUAACUGCGGCACUGCAUCAGAAACUGCUGUUCUUGAGGGUGGGAGAGGUAAGUGGAAUUCCUGGUGUAGCGGUGAAAUGCGUAGAUAUCAGGAGGAACACCGGUGGCGAAGGCGACUUACUGGACCAUUACUGACGCUGAUACACGAAAGCGUGGGGAGC